GCCCCCAACCGCCAGAAUUUAAGAUCUGGCUCCGCCCUCCUAUCGCGCAUUAAAGGGCUCGCGGCCAACAAAAAGGCAGCCCUGGGGGCGGCGAAAAGCGUCCUUCGGGCAGGACUAGUGCGGAGCCCCGCGGGGAGCACCCCAGCAGGGAAGUCCCAGUCUUCCCACGUGCUGGGAAGCCUCCCAUGUGCUGGCUCAGUCUCGCCAUCCCACUCACCUUCCCAGGGAGGGAUCCCCUAGAACGCGGCCCGGCCCGCCUUUUGAAGGGGUAAAAGUGGGGCGCCUCUGGGCCUCCGCCUGGGGUGGGGGCGGGCCAGGUCCUCUGCCAAGUCAAAGACGAGGCGGGGCGCCAGCGCUGGAGGCGUGGCUGUGCCUGAGAGCCGUUGGAGGAGGGAGCACCGCCUUCCCUCUCCCGGCCCCUAGUUCUCCUAUUGCGCUUUUCCUGGGGGAUCUUUCUCCCUCUGUCUCCGCCCCCCAAUCCCUGCUUCCGAGAAUGGGGGUGGUGGGUGGUGGUGGCGAGGACGCUCGGCGCCUGCGCACUAGCUUCACGCCGCUGGCCGGCCCAAGAGCGGAGGUAGAGGGAACGACGCAUGCCUGAGAAAAGGCGGGAAACAUAGGAGGCUCGAGGCUUGCGCACACGCACACAGCUAACUGCUUCUGGACCGCCUGAGAGGCGGCCUCACCCGCCGUGGCGGUGUGGGGCGGGCAUCCCUUGAGACUGUGUUCUGGAUGCCUGGAGAAACAGCUUUCCAUCCUCAGCACUGGGGAGAGCAGACCUCGAUCCCUGUCUUUGCCUGCUGCCCCUCCUCCUUCCCUCUCAAAGCAUACCCACCAGCCCCGGCUCUGAGAAACGCGUUAUCCUCUUAUCAGCUGUGGGAGAGACAGGACGGACUGGCUUCUGGGCGGUGGGGCCGCCAUUGCCUGCCCUCUGGACCAGGGCCUCACAGAUGCCCUCAACUUCAGGAUUAGGGCUGCGUUGCUUUUUCCCCCCACGACAGGGGACUUCAACAAGUAACCUCCAGUUCCAGAGAUAAAACUUGCAUUCCUCCCUUCUCCAUAGCAGGGGUUUUGAGCCUAGAGAAGGAAGAUCCGAGCUUCCUGGGGCUCCUAUGAAGCAGGCAGGGGGCAGCAUUGGGCCCCGGGAAGAGGCAGAGAAGGCGAGAGAGCGCCUGCAGCGAGCCCAGAGCCUUGGGCCCGUUAUCCUCUGAUGCUGCUCCCCCAACUUUCCUGCCGUCAGCCCCUGACCUUGCCUGAGACCUUGGCGGCUCCCGCACCUCCUCCCAGCUCCUCCUUGCUGAGAACACAACCCGCAAGGCCAUUCCGCCUGGCUGGACUGAGUCCCCUAUGGGGGCAACCUGGCAGGAAGCAGGUGUCUUCCUGGCAGCAGAGGACAGACCUGGUAAACUGAGAGACUGUUGAUGCCCCGAUGUUCUGCCUAGCCUGCAUGGAAACUCCAGAAGGGGUUUAUGCUGAGGGUGGCAUUGUCCUGGGAAAGCUUCAUCCUCUCUGAGGACGGGAGACUCUGGUCCUUGAAGAACCAACUGAUGGAGAUUCCAGUGUCAUUUGUGGAGCAGGUUACAUCUCUGCUGGACAUACUAGAUAUUGAAAUCUUUGUUCCUUCUCUUGGUUCUGGGUUGGCUGACCUAUCAGCUGGAGCUGGAGGACAUGCCUGACAGGAGAGUGACCCCCAUGGGAAAGAGCAGGGCUCAGCAGAGUGAAAGCAGCCAGGACACAGAGAAGCCAAUGAGGUCUGACUCUUAGAAGCCAAAGACCAGCAGGUGAGUGUCCUCAGGGGCAAAUGGACUACACUGUUACCCAUUGCAGUGGACUGGAAAAAGGGUGGAGAGAGUCACAUUUCCUAAUGAGAGAUGGAAAGCAUCUGAUUACCAGAAAAAGUGUCCAAAUGCUGCUGGUAUGAUCAUGGGGCUGCAGGUGGAGGUCAGUUCAAGGAGGUAUCAGGGAAAGUCAUUUCGAGAGUCUUUUUUUUUUUUUUUUUUUUACAAAAUCGUGGGCAGAAGCCACCAGCUGGACCCACCACAUAUUGGAAUGCACAAGGGACAUGAAUAGAGCUCAGUAAAUUUAGAAUGAAAUCCAAGAGUGGGCAAGAGGUUUGAGAGGUCGACAGGUGUGAGAGGUGAAUGUGUGAAUGGUGAGAAUAUUCAAAACAUCCUCUUUCUCCAUAAUAAGAGAGCAUUUAAGUCCCUGAGUCAGACAGUGUCCAGGCCAGGGGGAGCAGGAUGUCAGCUCUCCUGGCCAAAAGUGAGACUCCAGCAGUGUCCAGUUACUUGGUCCAGUUUGGGAUUUAUUCCUAUUUUAAAAAUGGUCCAACAGUAUACAAUUUUGAAAAUAUACAAAAAUCCCUAUGCUACCAUUCAUAGAUAGCCAAGAUAGCCCUAAGAUAGUGAGAGAAUCAGAAUGGGGUUUGGGUUUAUGUUGUGUAUUUUUUCCUCCCAAUAUCUACAGAAUUCCCUACAUCCUACUUUUUAAUGUAACCCAGUGGGUGUCAUUCCCUUUCGUAGUUACAGACCUUUCCGGUUCACGGUUACAGACCCUUGGAAAACCCAUACCCUUUCUGCUGUGAGGUACAGGCAGCCAUGCGGCAUCACCUCUAAACAUGCCUUCUGGGACAUCAAAUUUCUGAAUAAGUGAAAGUCAUUUCAGUAGAUAUUGAAGACCUCCAUUUUACCCCUCUCACACUUGUAAUUCUUCUACCAAGAGGUGAUGGAUUUUAGUGGUGAUUUGCUUUUAUAGAUUAGUGAAGAUUAAUGCUUCUGCCAGGGGCAAUUUUUUCAUUGGGAAAAGCAUUUGGCAAAGUCUGGAGACAUUGCUGGUUGUCAGAGCUGGAGGGAGUCCUUCUGGCCUUGAGUGAGUAGAGUCCCCAGAGAGUGCUGAACAUUCUAGAGCUCACAGAGCCCCACCAGCAUGACCACUACAAAGUUCAAUGCUGAGGAGGAGUGGAGAGCCCUGAUAUGCCUCCCCUAGCUUCCCUGGAGGUUUUUACUUUCUCCUUUAAUCAGUCUCUACCACUUUCUCACCUCAGCUUGCUCCUGGAACCUUAAUGCCCUCCUCUUGAACUUGCCCUUAGUUUAAGACCUGCUGUAAUCUCUUGAUUUCCUUGGCCCCUUUCUGAUCCUUAGCAGCGUGUCCUCUAGAGGGCACCCUCAUCUUUCCAGGAGCUUCCCAGGAUCCAGAUGCCCCUGCCCUGUGUGGGCACCAGAGAUAUGGCCCUGUGCCUGUGUCCCUAAAGGUCCUGUCACUCAGGACCUUUGUGUGAGAGCAACUGAGGUGAUAUUACCCUCCCCUACUUUUUUUGGAACAUAAAAAUAUGUACAAACCUUGUAGAGUAAAAUUUCUUAAUGCAUGUGAAAAUUUAAAAAAUACAUUUUUUUGCCUCCCAAACUUUACUGGGAAAAAUUUAUUACAGUCCCAGUCAUAAAAAAUGACACCUAAUCAGGGUUAUUCACUGUAUUGUUUGUUUAACAGCAAAAUAUGGGGAAUAACCUAGACUUUCACCAGCACAAUGCUAUUUAAAGAGGUUACCUUAUAUCUACACAAUAGAAUAUGAUGCAGCUACAUAAAAAGUAUAGAAUCUUUCAGCUAUUCAUAUGGAAACACCUCCAUAUUGUAUUUUAAUUAUAGCAUCUAAACAUCACAGAAUGAUAUGCAGUUUUUGUACUAG